AUGUUGUUUGGAUUCUUCUUUUUAUUUGAAGUAUCGAUAUCUGACAUUUUGUAUCGGACAUAUAGAUAUGUGGAUAUGACCUCCAAAGAUCUUCUAAAUGCAUAGAAAUAACUUUAAAAAAUCUAAUAAUACAUUGUCCCCACUCUUCUACA